GACGAACGCUGGCGGCGUGCUUAACACAUGCAAGUCGAGCGGUAAGGCCCUUUCGGGGGUACACGAGCGGCGAACGGGUGAGUAACACGUGGGUGACCUGCCCUCAGCUCUGGGAUAAGCCUGGGAAACCGGGUCUAAUACUGGAUAUGACUCCAUGACGCAUGUUGUGGGGUGAAAGCCUUGUGCGGCUGAGGAUGGGCCCGCGGCCUAUCAGCUUGUUGGUGGGGUGAUGGCCUACCAAGGCGACGACGGGUAGCCGGCCUGAGAGGGCGACCGGCCACACUGGGACUGAGACACGGCCCAGACUCCUACGGGAGGCAGCAGUGAGGAAUCUUGCGCAAUGGACGAAAGUCUGACGCAGCGAUGCCGCGUGGGGAUGAA
rnacentral:rRNA from 1 species